GCCAGACUCCUACGGGAGGCAGCAGUGGGGGAUAUUGCACAAUGGGGGGAACCCUGAUGCAGCGACGCCGCGUGGGUGAAGGAGUAUUUCGGUAUGUAAAGCCCUAUCGGCAGGGAAGAAGCAAGACGGUACCUGACUAAGAAGCCCCGGCUAACUACGUGCCAGCAGCCGCGGUAAUACGUAGGGGGCGAGCGUUAUCCGGAUUCACUGGGUGUAAAGGGAGCGUAGACGGCCAAGCAAGCCAGGGGUGAAAGCCCGGGGCCCAACCCCGGGACUGCCCUUGGAACUGCUUGGCUGGAGUGCGGGAGGGGCAGGCGGAAUUCCUGGUGUAGCGGUGAAAUGCGUAGAUAUCAGGAGGAACACCGGCGGCGAAGGCGGCCUGCUGGACCGCGACUGACGUUGAGGCUCGAAAGCGUGGGGAGCAAACAGGAUUAGAUACCCCGGUAUAG
rnacentral:rRNA from 1 species